ACAGGAAGCAGCUUGCUGCUUCGCUGACGAGUGGCGGACGGGUGAGUAAUGUCUGGGAAACUGCCUGAUGGAGGGGGAUAACUACUGGAAACGGUAGCUAAUACCGCAUAACGUCGCAAGACCAAAGAGGGGGACCUUCGGGCCUCUUGCCAUCGGAUGUGCCCAGAUGGGAUUAGCUAGUAGGUGGGGUAACGGCUCACCUAGGCGACGAUCCCUAGCCGGUCUGAGAGGAUGACCAGCCACACUGGAACUGAGACACGGUCCAGACUCCUACGGGAGGCAGCAGUGGGGAAUAUUGCACAAUGGGCGCAAGCCUGAUGCAGCCAUGCCGCGUGUAUGGAGAAAGCCUUCGGGUUGUAAAGUACUUUCAGCGGGGAGGAAGGCGAUAAGGUUAAUAACCUUGUCGAUUGACGUUACCCGCAGAAGAAGCACCGGCUAACUCCGUGCCAGCAGCCGCGGUAAUACGGAGGGUGCAAGCGCUAAUCGGAAUUACUGGGCGUAAAGCGCACGCAGGCGGUCUGUCAAGUCGGAUGUGAAAUCCCCGGGCUCAACCUGGGAACUGCAUUCGAAACUGGC
rnacentral:rRNA from 1 species